rnacentral:rRNA from 1 species
UUAAGUCAGAUGUGAAAGCCCGGGCUCACCCUCGGAAUAGCAUUUGAAACUGGCAGACUAGAGUACUGUAGAGGGGGGGUAGAAUCUCAGGUGUAGCGGUGAAAUGCGUAGAGAUCUGAAGGAAUACCGGUGGCGAAGGCGGCCCCUGGACAGAUACUGACACUCAGAUGCGAAAGCGUGGGGAGCAAACAGGAUUAGAUACCCUGGUAGUCCACGCCGUAAACGAUGUCUACUUGGAGGUUGUGGCCUUGAGCCGUGGCUUUCGGAGCUAACGCGUUAAGUAGACCGCCUGGGGAGUACGGUCGCAAGAUUAAAACUCAAAUGAAUUGACGGGGGCCCGCACAAGCGGUGGAGCAUGUGGUUUAAUUCGAUGCAACGCGAAGAACCUUACCUACUCUUGACAUCCAGAGAACUUUCCAGAGAUGGAUUGGUGCCUUCGGGAACUCUGAGACAGGUGCUGCAUGGCUGUCGUCAGCUCGUGUUGUGAAAUGUUGGGUUAAGUCCCGCAACGAGCGCAACCCUUAUCCUUGUUUGCCAGCGAGUAAUGUCGGGAACUCCAGGGAGACUGCCGGUGAUAAACCGGAGGAAGGUGGGGACGACGUCAAGUCAUCAUGGCCCUUACGAGUAGGGCUACACACGUGCUACAAUGGCGCAUACAGAGGGCGGCCAACUUGCGAAAGUGAGCGAAUCCCAAAAAGUGCGUCGUAGUCCGGAUUGGAGUCUGCAACUCGACUCCAUGAAGUCGGAAUCGCUAGUAAUCGUGGAUCAGAAUGCCAUGGUGAAUACGUUCCCGGGCCUUGUACACACCGCCCGUCACACCAUGGGAGUGGGCUGCAAAAGAAGUAGUGUAGUUUAACCUUCGGGGGGACGCUUACUAUCUUUUGG